rnacentral:rRNA from 1 species
GAAAAGAACUUUGAAGAGAGAGUUCAAGAGUACGUGAAACUGAAGUGGUGUAAACGGACGAGUUCGAAAAGUCCGAAUGGUGAGAUUCAAGCUUACCGUGCCGGUGGCCCUUGGGUUCAGAUGGCGUCGUCAGCUCGGGCUUCGGUUCGGGUCAUACGGCGUCACUCGUCCUGGGGGUAUCUGUCUGGUGCGGUGGGCUGCACUUCUCGCCUAGUAGGACGUCGCGACCCGUUGGGAUGUUCCGUUCACUGGCCCUCGGUGGAGCCCGCGCCGGAGCGUGGCCUUGUGCCGCGUUGCUGUUUGCACGGACCCGGGGUGACCUGAUCGGCGCCCGACGGUAUCAAAGCUUGGGAAGAGGCCGCACAGAGGAUGCGUUCGAUGGCCGUUUCGGCCUACACUCGGACAGGCCUGCACCCGGUCAGCGGCGCUUCUGCUUUCGAUACUCGUCCGACCCGUCUUGAAAC